UACAGAGGGGGCAAGCGUUGUUCGGAAUUACUGGGCGUAAAGGGCGCGUAGGCGGCCUGUUAAGUCGGACGUGAAAUCCCCGGGCUCAACCCGGGAACUGCGUCCGAUACUGGCAGGCUUGAAUCCGGGAGAGGGAUGUGGAAUUCCAGGUGUAGCGGUGAAAUGCGUAGAGAUCCGGAAGAAUACCAGUGGCGAAGGCGGGUCUCUGGGCAUUAACUGACGCUGAGGAACGAAAGCAUGGGGAGCGAACAGG
rnacentral:rRNA from 1 species